GCGGCUGCACGUGGAUGCCUUUCCCAGCGUCUCGCGUAUUUCGCCUAAUUUAUUUAAUAAAAUGUGGAAUUUAGAUUAUUAAAGUGUUUAAUUAGAGGGAAAUGGUUUCGGGGCGUGUAAUUAAUAUAGUGAGUAUUGUUGUUGAAAGUUUAUUAGUGAAUAGUGAAGGGAUUUGUGCAUGAGGACGCUAGGGCGUGGCUCGUUGAUGGAUUGGUGAUGAGGCCUAAUUUGGUAAAUAAUUCGCCAAAUUGUUGCUAAAAAGACUGGUACAUUGUGCAUUGAGUGGGAUUUUUUAAAAUAAUAAAAUGCUAAAUGGACUGAAAAACGAGUAGCGUCUCCACAGAGCUGCGAGACGAAGGGAUGGUGCGGCGAGGGGGGCACCCGUACGUGUUCGUGUUGGUAAUGACGCCUAAUCUGUUAAAUAAUUGGUGAAAUAUUGCUAAAAAAAAAACUGGUAAAUGGAGGGUAAAUGCAUCGGCCCAGAAAAGUGUGUUUAUUGAGUGGAAUUUUUUGAAAAAAUAAAAUGCUAAAUGGACUGAAAAACGAGUAGCGUUUCCAUAGAGCUGGAGGACGAAGGGAUGGUGCGGUGAGGGCGGGGUAGCCGUACGUGUCCGUGCUUGUUGACGGCUUGGUGAUGCCUAAUUUAUUAAAUAAAUAGUGAAAUAUUGCUGAAAAAGACUGGUACAUUGGGUGUAAAUGGAUUGGCCCAGGAAAGUGUGUGGAUUCAAUGACAUUUUUUAAAAUAAUAAAAUGCUAAAUGGACAGUUGAGAAAUGGGGAGCAUCUCGACAGACUUGGGCGGCAAAGGGAUGGUGCGGCGAGGCGGGGCAGCCGUGCUUGUCGGCGGCUUGGUGAUGACGCGUAACCUGUUAAAUAAAAUAAUUGGACAAAUUGUUGGUUAAAAAAAAGUGGUAAAUUGCGUGUAAAUGCAUUGGCCUGGAAAGGUGUGUUUAUUGAGUGGCAUUUUUAAAAUAAUAAAAUGGAAAAUGGACGAAUGAAAAAUACGUAGCGUAUCUACAGACUUGAGUGGCAAAGGGUUGGGGGGGGGGGCAGUUGUGCGCGUUGGUGGUUGUUGGUGUGUCGGUGUAAUUUGUUUAAAAUUUUAAUUAAAAAAAUGAUGAGUGAGGUAUGGAUUGGCGUAAAAAAGUGUGUGCAUUGCGUUAAAUUUUUUUAAAUAAUAAAAUGUUUAAUUGUGGAGUGGAAAUACGGGAGUGACCAGUGGGGCGAAGGGAUCGAGGGGGGGGGGUAGUUGUGCGCAUUCGUGGUUGUCGGUGGGCCGGUAAAAAGGCGUAAUUUGUUUAAAAAUGUUUAGAAUUUUAAUUUAAAAAAUAAUGAGUCGGGUUGUAAAUACAGUGGCCUAAAAAAGUGUGUGCCUGUUGUUUGAAUUGUGGCAUAAUUAAAUGGUUAAUUGGUUAGUGAGAAAUCAGGUGGAAUAUUAAGUGAGCAGUGUUUUUUUGGUGGUGGAUAGUCAGUGUUUUUUUUUUUUUUUUUUUAAUGUGAAUUGUUGAAGUGAGCUGUGGAAAAGGAGGAAUGCUGAGACAGCAGGCGACACAUUGCAGUUAUCCCGGUGAAGUGAGCUGUGGAAAAGGAGGAAUGCUGAGACAGCAUUCAACAGCAGGCGACAGUUUGCAGUUUGCAGUAUGCAGUUUGCAGUUUGCAGUUGAUAUCUCGGUGAGUCAAAAAUUAAAGAAUUUUUAUUUAAUGUUAAGCAAUUGUGAUAAAUUUUGAAUUAUUUGUCACAAAUGUUUAACGAUGCUCAUGAUGAGCUUCUAGUGGAUAAGAGGUGCGUUUAUCAGUUGUGAGAAAUUAAAAUUAAUUAAUUAAUAAAGUUAAGCUAGCCAGAGUCGGGGUUUUUGAAUUAAUUAGAGAAUUAGCUCUUAAUUGGAUUUUAUAUAAUUUUUUUGUGUCGUCAGUAAAAAUAAAAUGGUGAAAAAGCUUUGUUGAAAAAUGAAUUUUUGUAAUUUGUCAUGGAUUGUUGGACUCAGCUGUCUUAUAUACUGGUGGUUGUAGGAAGGGGUGUUUUUUGGGGGGGGGGCGCGGUGGGAAAUGAAGACGGGCGUUGCUGUAGAACUCAGCGGCCGCCGUCGGAUCCCGCACUUUAUCCGUCGGACUCGGACGUGCAUUGUCAUAGCCGUCGGAGUGCGACCUGUACCCUGAUUUACCCGUCGUACUUGGCCGUGGUGAAGUGCGACGUGGAGUCCCGUUUUGUAUAUGCCCUGUAUAUUGGGCGGUAAAAAGCGCGUAAAUUGAGGGUGGAGGGGAAUGAAGACGGGGGGACCGUCCAGAAUUCGACGGCCUCCUUGUCGGAGCCCCCGGGGUUUUGUUCCGUCGGAGUUGGACACCGAGGAAAAGGUAUCUGAUUCCGACGAAUCGUGUUGACCAAUUGAGCCAUCGUGUAUUAUAUAGGGGUGGAAAAUAUUUUUUGGACAAGCCUCGACGCAUUGAAUUGAAUGCGGAGGUUUAGUAUAUGCGGCGGCGGCUAGUUUGGGUGGAAUGGUAAAUUAUAAGAAAUGAAUAUUUGAAGAAAGCUUUUUGACGAUGAAAUGAAUAAUUAGUAAAAAAAUAAUUGAGUGGGAUGGUUAGCUUGACAGGUGGAUAUUUGUUAGUCGGAAUUUAGUAAUUUGCAUUGUAAAUGAUUUCUCACAAAUGAUGAAUAACCGUAAAGAGAACCUCGGGGGGAGGAGCAUUUAAAUGUAAAAGUGAUAAGGUAGUAAAAAUGUUUAACAUCUGUUAUGGGGAGAAAUAUAAAUUGAAAAUGUAUUUUUCAUUGCUAUUUCAUCGAGCCUGAGAAAUAUUUAACAAGGCUGAUAAAGAAUUGGGUUUUUUUUUGUGGGGGAUUUUAGUGAUGAACCCGGGGGUUGAUCGCUGUGAAAGUUGUAAGGUACUGUUAAUGGAUAAAUAUAAAUUUGUAAUUUUUUUGAAUUGAUAUUAAAUGGCGUGAGCAUGUUUUUAUGAAUAGAGAGAGUUAGAAGCGAAGUUUUGCAACAGUUAGUCAGAAUAAAGUCGUAAGAAUGUCACAAGAGGGUUUAAAUGAAGGAAUACUUAGCAAGGCGUGUGAAAAAUAGGGUUUUUAAAAUUGAUAAAAAUUUUUUGUUGGGUUGUCAGGUGUUAAAUUCAGAAGGUAUUGAAAAUGGGUGAAAUAAAAAUUUUGAAAAUAGGUUUAAUGGAUAUUCCAUGGUGUGAGACGAAUAUUUAGCAAUGCGUGUGAAAAAUUGAGUUUUUAAAAAUGAUUUUAAUGUUUUGCGGGGUUGUCAGGUGUUAAAUUGGUAACAUAUGGAAAAUUUUGAACCAUGUCGGUAAUUGGUUAGAGCGCGGGUGACUUGUUCCACACGUCGAUAACUAGUCUGUCGGUAAGAGUAUUGGACGGUCGGUAUCUCGGCGAUGGGUAAAUAGUCGACGAAGUGUAAUGACGUGACAGGGUUAUCAGCCGUCAAACUUUUACCGUAUUGAAAAUAGUUAAAAUCAAAAUUUUAAAAAUAGCUUUAAUGGAUAUUAAAUGGUGUGAGACGAAUAUUUAGCAACGCGUGUG